rnacentral:rRNA from 1 species
AUUGAACGCUGGCGGCAUGCCUUACACAUGCAAGUCGAGCGGCAGCGCGGGGGCAACCCUGGCGGCGAGCGGCGGACGGGUGAGUAAUACAUCGGAACGUGUCCUUUCGUGGGGGAUAACCAGUCGAAAGACUGGCUAAUACCGCAUGAGAUCUCACGAUGAAAGCGAGGGACCGCAAGGCCUCGCGCGAUUGGAGCGGCCGAUGUCGGAUUAGCUAGUGGCGGGGUAAAGCCCACCAAGGCUACGAUCCGUAGCUGGUUUGAGAGAACGACCAGCCACACUGGGACUGAGACACGGCCCAGACUCCUACGGGAGGCAGCAGUGGGGAAUUUUGGACAAUGGGGCAACCCUGAUCCAGCCAUGCCGCGUGUGUGAAGAAGGCCU